AUUGAACGAUGGCGGAAUGCUUUACACAUGCAAGUCGAACGGCAGCACGGGGCAACCUGGUGGCGCGUGGCGAACGGGUGAGUAAUACAUCGGAACGUGCUCAAUCGUGGGGGAUAACGUAGCGAAAGUUACGCUAAUACCGCAUACGAUCUACGGAUGAAAGCGGGGGAUCACAAGACCUCGCGCGAAUGGAGCGGCCGAUGUCAGAUUAGGUAGUUGGUGGGGUAAAGGCUCACCAAGACGACGAUCUGUAGCUGGUCUGAGAGGACGACCGGCCACACUGGGACUGAGACACGGCCCAGACUCCUGCGGGAGGCAGCAGUGGGGAAUUUUGGACAAUGGGCGCAAGCCUGAUCCAGCCAUUCCGCGUGCAGGAUGAGGGCCUUCGGGUUGUAAACUGCUUUUGUACGGAGCGAAAAGGCUCUCUCUAAUACAGGUGGCUCAUGACGGUACCGUAAGAAUAAGCACCGGCUAACUACGUGCCAGCCGCCGCCGUAAAAC
rnacentral:rRNA from 1 species